GAUUAUGGCUCAGGAUGAACGCUAGCUACAGGCUUAACACAUGCAAGUCGAGGGGCAGCAUUGGAGUAGCAAUACUCAGAUGGCGACCGGCGCACGGGUGAGUAACACGUAUCCAACCUGCCGCUUACUCGGGGAUAGCCUUUCGAAAGAAAGAUUAAUACCCGAUGGUAUAAAGAGUUCGCAUGUUCUCUUUAUUAAAGAAUUUCGGUAAGCGAUGGGGAUGCGUUCCAUUAGGAUAGUUGGCGGGGUAACGGCCCACCAAGUCUACGAUGGAUAGGGGUUCUGAGAGGAAGGUCCCCCACAUUGGAACUGAGACACGGUCCAAACUCCUACGGGAGGCAGCAGUGAGGAAUAUUGGUCAAUGGACGAGAGUCUGAACCAGCCAAGUAGCGUUGGAAGGAUGACUGCCCUAUGGGUUGUAAACUUCUUUUAUAAGGGAAUAAAGUGAGGGACGUGUCCCUUUUUGUAUGUACCUUAUGAAUAAGGAUCGGCUAACUCCGUGCCAGCAGCAGC
rnacentral:rRNA from 1 species